GCUCCCGUAGCUCAAUUGGACAGAGCAAAUCGGUUCUAACGAUAAGGUUACAGGUUCGAGUCCUGUCGGGAGCG
rfam:Candidatus Yanofskybacteria bacterium RIFCSPHIGHO2_02_FTLL_43_22 rifcsphigho2_02_scaffold_58725, whole genome shotgun sequence.